rnacentral:rRNA from 1 species
GACGUAGGGCGCGAGCGUUGUCCGGAUUUAUUGGGCGUAAAGAGCUCGUAGGCGGCUUGUCGCGUCGGCUGUGAAAACCCGAGGCUCAACCUCGGGCCUGCAGCCGAUACGGGCAGACUAGAGUUCGGCAGGGGAGACUGGAAUUCCUGGUGUAGCGGUGAAAUGCGCAGAUAUCAGGAGGAACACCGGUGGCGAAGGCGGGUCUCUGGGCCGAUACUGACGCUGAGGAGCGAAAGCGUGGGGAGCGAACAGG